AAAGAGUCAUGUAACUGGCGGAAAGUGGGGAUACCCACGGGGAGCAUGACGUAUGACAGCCGACCGUCUGGGCAGUUGCG
rfam:Anaeroglobus geminatus F0357 genomic scaffold Scfld51, whole genome shotgun sequence.